CUGAGAACUUAUGUCUUUGCAUGAUUCUUCAUAAUUAAGUAUACUCAAUUAUUCUCUAUGAUCCUUCUUUCUAUAUUUUUGCUUUUCAACUAUCUAUAUAUAUUUUUGUGUGUCCUUAUUUAAAUCCCCAUUCUUGAUUCCAGACUAACUCUCAUAUAUAUACGUAAAUGUACGAAAGCUUGGCACGUCGAAUACGGAAACCCGGAAAUCUUUUCACCGUUGUCGUUUUAUACUAUGACGCAAAAUCCAUGGACGCUCGUCUGCUGCUGAAUUCAUGUUUUAAAAGAAUGGACAAAGAUAGUCAGAUAGUUGAUACAAAGACCUUUGAUUUUUCAAACUGAUGGAUCAAAAAGUUAUUAUAAACAGAUAUAUUGAAAUGGCUUUUUCAACGAAAGUACAAUUACUUUGAGAAGUAGGAGAAGCUAAGCAACAGGACAGAAUUCAUUUGAGGCAUUGCUUUCUAGAUUAUAUAGUGGAGUCAUAGAUUGUCCUAUUGAUUUAUGUGGAUAUGAGGAGCAGUAGUCAAUGAAUAAUUUUGUGAUGAGAGCUGUACAUUGUAUUACAACAAAUGGACAGAGGAGUUGACUAUUGAUAGUGACUGAUAAUGGACUGGAGUAACCUAGGGUCCAAUGACUCCAUGCCUGACAGUCCAUGUGUACAUAAUUAGCUCCUCAGAUGUAAGUGGAAGGGAAGCUAUAUACAUUAUAUGUUUAAAUGAAAUUAACAACAGGAUUAGAUAUUGAGGAGAUCCUAUAGCUACAGUAUAUAUAAAUGUAACUGCAACUGUAUUCCAAGAGUCUGAUGGCUGAUAAUGUAUUACAGGAUUUUAUCAUUCAAGCAACAUCUUAGAAGGAUAAGUGCAAAUGUAUGAAGGAAGCCUUGGGUACAAAUAGCAAUUACAGCAAUUACAUGCAGGAGAGAACUCUUAACAUUACUAACAGACAUGUAGUCAUUAUAUGGGAGUGGUGUAUUCAAGAAAUCUAAAACACAUGGAAUUAAAUAUCGUGUAUAUUUUUUCAACCACAAGUACUCUCAGAAUAUAAUACAAUUCAAAUUCAAAUUAUUGUGCCAACAUGACAAUUACAGUCUAAAAAUGGAAAAUGCAUGUUUUAAACUGAUUUUUAUAUAAAUAUUUGAAAUAACAAGAA